rnacentral:rRNA from 1 species
GUGGGGUAAUGGCCCACCAAGGCAACGACGGGUAGCCGGCCUGAGAGGGUGACCGGCCACACUGGGACUGAGACACGGCCCAGACUCCUACGGGAGGCAGCAGUGGGGAAUACUGGACAAUGGGCGAAAGCCUGAUCCAGCAACGCCGCGUGAGGGAUGACGGCCUUCGGGUUGUAAACCUCUUUCAGCAGGGACGAAGCGAAAGUGACGGUACCUGCGGAAGAAGCACCGGCCAACUACGUGCCAGCAGCCGCGGUAAUACGUAGGGUGCGAGCGUUGUCCGGAAUUAUUGGGCGUAAAGGGCUCGUAGGCGGUCUGUCACGUCGGGAGUGAAAACUCGGGGCUUAACCCCGAGCCUGCUUCCGAUACGGGCAGACUAGAGGUAUGCAGGGGAGAACGGAAUUCCUGGUGUAGCGGUGAAAUGCGCAGAUAUCAGGAGGAACACCGGUGGCGAAGGCGGUUCUCUGGGCAUUACCUGACGCUGAGGAGCGAAAGUGUGGGGAGCGAACAGGAUUAGAUACCCUGGUAGUCCACACCGUAAACGUUGGGCGCUAGGUGUGGGGGACCUUCCACGGUUUCCGUGCCGCAGCUAACGCAUUAAGUG